rnacentral:rRNA from 1 species
UACAGAGGUCCCAAGCGUUGUUCGGAUUCACUGGGCGUAAAGGGUGCGUAGGCGGUCGGGUAAGUCUGAUGUGAAAUCUCACAGCUUAACUGUGAAACUGCAUUGGAUACUAUCCGGCUAGAGGAAUGGAGGGGAGACUGGAAUACUUGGUGUAGCAGUGAAAUGCGUAGAUAUCAAGUGGAACACCAGUGGCGAAGGCGAGUCUCUGGACAGUUCCUGACGCUGAGGCACGAAGGCCAGGGGAGCAAACGGG